CUGCUGUGAUGGGAACAUUUUUCGUCAACAGCAUUUCACGCAGUGAAUGAUGACACGCAACUUCUGAGCAG
ensembl:snoRNA